rnacentral:rRNA from 1 species
GGGUUGUGAGGUUAAGCGACUAAGCGUACACGGUGGAUGCCCUGGCAGUCAGAGGCGAUGAAGGGCGUGCUAAUCUGCGAUAAGCGCCGGUAAGGUGAUAUGAACCGUUAUAACCGGCGAUACCCGAAUGGGGAAACCCAGUGUGAUUCGUCACACUAUCAUUACGUGAAUACAUAGCGUAAUGAAGCGAACCGGGGGAACUGAAACAUCUAAGUACCCCGAGGAAAAGAAAUCAACCGAGAUUCCCCCAGUAGCGGCGAGCGAACGGGGAGGAGCCCAGAGCCUGAAUCAGCAUGUGUGUUAGUGGAAGCGUCUGGAAAGGCGCGCGAUACAGGGUGACAGCCCCGUACACAAAAGCGCAUGUGUUGUGAGCUCGAUGAGUAGGGCGGGACACGUGGUAUCCUGUCUGAAUAUGGGGGGACCAUCCUCCAAGGCUAAAUACUCCUGACUGACCGAUAGUGAACCAGUACCGUGAGGGAAAGGCGAAAAGAACCCCGGCGAGGGGAGUGAAAAAGAACCUGAAACCGUGUACGUACAAGCAGUGGGAGCACCCUUUGGGGUGUGACUGCGUACCUUUUGUAUAAUGGGUCAGCGACUUAUAUUCUGUAGCAAGGUUAACCGAAUAGGGGAGCCGGAGGGAAACCGAGUCUUAAUUGGGCGUUAAGUUGCAGGGUAUAGACCCGAAACCCGGUGAUCUAGCCAUGGGCAGGUUGAAGGUUGGGUAACACUAACUGGAGGACCGAACCGACUAAUGUUGAAAAAUUAGCGGAUGACCUGUGGCUGGGGGUGAAAGGCCAAUCAAACCGGGAGAUAGCUGGUUCUCCCCGAAAGCUAUUUAGGUAGCGCCUCGUGAACUCAUCUCCGGGGGUAGAGCACUGUUUCGGCUAGGGGGCCAUCCCGGCUUACCAACCCGAUGCAAACUGCGAAUACCGGAGAAUGUUAUCACGGGAGACACACGGCGGGUGCUAACGUCCGUCGUGAAGAGGGAAACAACCCAGACCGCCAGCUAAGGUCCCAAAGUCAUAGUUAAGUGGGAAACGAUGUGGGAAGGCCCAGACAGCCAGGAUGUUGGCUUAGAAGCAGCCAUCAUUUAAAGAAAGCGUAAUAGCUCACUGGUCGAGUCGGCCUGCGCGGAAGAUGUAACGGGGCUAAACUAUGCACCGAAGCUGCGGCAGCGACACUAUGUGUUGUUGGGUAGGGGAGCGUUCUGUAAGCCUGUGAAGGUGUGUCGUGAGGCAUGCUGGAGGUAUCAGAAGUGCGAAUGCUGACAUAAGUAACGAUAAAGCGGGUGAAAAGCCCGCUCGCCGGAAGACCAAGGGUUCCUGUCCAACGUUAAUCGGGGCAGGGUGA